AUUGCAGGCUGCAACUCGCCUGCAUGAAGUCGGAAUUGCUAGUAAUCGUGGAUCAGCAUGCCACGGUGAAUACGUUCCCGGGCCUUGUACACACCGCCCGUCACACCAUGGGAGUCGGUAACACCCGAAGCCUGUAGUCUAACCGCAAGGAGGACGCAGUCGAAGGUGGGAUUGAUGACUGGGGUGAAGUCGUAACAAGGUACC
rnacentral:rRNA from 1 species